GUGCUUUAGCUAGUGCUGACGAGACGAACGUGGGGGGGUCUGGCUGGGCUGCCAAGUUCGCCCAGGCGUCCUCUGAGAGUAAUGGUUUUCUACAGAAUCUAAGAAUCCUCAUUGACUAUAUUCCUCCAUAAUAAUGUCAGGAAGCUAUACUCCCUCCACUGGUGGGCCCUUUUCUGCUCUUACUCCCAGCAUCUGGCCUCAAGAAAUUUUGGCAAAAUAUGCUCAGGUACAUAGAUCGCAAAGUAAAAAAAUCUGUUUUGUCUUUAUUUUUCUUUUGCAAGAAUAAUUAAUAUGAAGUAAUGAUUAUGAAGGAGUACAAGGCUGGUAUAAGAAUGCUUAGUAGACUUGGAAAUCAACUCACACUGUUAUUAACAUUUUUGCAGUAAAGCAAGAACUCUUUUGCUCCUGCAGCACCAUUCUGCCUUCCUAUGCUGAAUGCCAAAGCUCAGCCUGACUCUUCUCUUUAUCGUCUGGUUUUUCACCCUUAGCACAAAGGAGGCACCAUUCU